GACGAACGCUGGCGGCGUGCUUAACACAUGCAAGUCGAACGAUGAACUUGGAGCUUGCUCUGGGGGAUUAGUGGCGAACGGGUGAGUAACACGUGAGUAACCUGCCCUGGACUCUGGGAUAACUUCGAGAAAUCGGAGCUAAUACCGGAUAGGACCUUGCACCGCCUGGGGCGGGGUGGAAAGUUUUUCGGUUUGGGAUGGACUCGCGGCCUAUCAGCUUGUUGGUGAGGUAAUGGCUCACCAAGGCGUCGACGGGUAGCCGGCCUGAGAGGGUGACCGGCCACACUGGGACUGAGACACGGCCCAGACUCCUACGGGAGGCAGCAGUGGGGAAUAUUGCACAAUGGGCGCAAGCCUGAUGCAGCAACGCCGCGUGCGGGAUGACGGCCUUCGGGUUGUAAACCGCUUUUAGUAGGGAAGAAGCCUUCGGGUGACGGUACCUGCAGAAAAAGGACCGGCUAACUACGUGCCAGCAGCCGCCGUAACAC
rnacentral:rRNA from 1 species